rnacentral:lncRNA from 1 species
AUGGAUCGAAAUUUGAAAAAAAGCAAAAAAAAAAAAAAAAAGGAAGCAAAUAUUUACAAAGGUGAUAUAAAAAUUUAUGUUCCUAAUGGGUUACAAAAUGGAGAAAUAUGUGAAAAUGGAAAACCAAAAAAAAGCUUAAGACAAAGGAUAUAUGACAAUGAAGCUAUAUUUUAUUCAGAUUAUAUUGAACAAGAAGCAGCAAAAGAUUAUGAAUGGUUAUUUAAAAAGCCAUAUAAAAUAAAAAGAAAAGAUGAAGGGGGUAAAUAUUAUUUUUAUGGAAAAAAAUUAUUAAUGAAUGAAGAAGAAGAUAUAUAUAGGAAAUAUUAUAAUUUAGAUGAUGAAUAUUUUAUAAAAAAAUUACAAUUAAAAAAAGAAAUGGAUAAAAAACAAAAAAAAGCUAAUACAAAUAAUAAAAUAAAAAUAAAAGAACAUAUAAAAUCACGAAAUGAAUAUGAACAAUUAAGUUAUGAUGAAAAAAAAUAUAUACAAUACGUAAUAAAUAAAUAUGAAUAUACAGACAUAGAUGUAUACGAUUUUUAUAAAAAAAAUAAAAAUAUAAUAAAAAGUAAUUUAUCACAAACAAAAAAGGAAGAACUAUUAUUUGGUAAAAUGCCUGAUAUUAUUUUACCGAGAAAAGAUAAAAAAUUAAAAAGUUUACCUCAUUCUUAUGUCGAAUUAUAUUAUUUAAAUACUUAUGCUAAUUUUAUUGAUAGUAUGUUUAAAUGUCCAUAUAUAUACACAGCUAUUGAUGCUGAAUUAGGCAAGUAUUGGAAAACAAAUGAUCAAGAAUUAAACAAAUAUAUAAAAACAGAAAAAGUAACAAAACCUAAUAAAAAAGACAUAUUAUAUUCAGUAACAAAAGAGCAAUUAGAAAAAUCGAGCAAUAAACUUAAAAAUCUAUUUAAAGAAGAAGAAAAAAAAAAUGAAGAUAAAAAAAAUUUUAAAGUUACUUUAAAAGUAGAUACAAAAAAAAACGAACCAGAAAAUAAAGUUAUAUGUAAUGGUAGAUACAUCAUAUGA